rnacentral:rRNA from 1 species
GAUGAACGCUGGCGGCGUGCCUAAUACAUGCAAGUCGAGCGAACAGACGAGGAGCUUGCUCCUCUGACGUUAGCGGCGGACGGGUGAGUAACACGUGGAUAACCUACCUAUAAGACUGGGAUAACUUCGGGAAACCGGAGCCAAUACCGGAUAAUAUAUUGAACCGCAUGGUUCAAUAGUGGAAGACGGUUUUGCUGUCACUUAUAGAUGGAUCCGCGCCGCAUUAGCUAGUUGGUAAGGUAACGGCUUACCAAGGCAACGAUGCGUAGCCGACCUGAGAGGGUGAUCGGCUACACUGGAACUGAGACACGGUCCAGACUCCUACGGGAGGCAGCAGUAGGGAAUCUUCCGCAAUGGGCGAAAGCUUGACGGAGCAACGCCGCGUGAGUGAUGAAGGUCUUCGGAUCGUAAAACUCUGUUAUUAGGGAAGAACAAAUGUGUAAGUAACUAUGCACGUCUUGACGGUACCUAAUCAGAAAGCCACGGCUAACUACGUG